rnacentral:lncRNA from 1 species
UAUCAAAUUUUUGAUAGAGAAGCCACCAAAAAGUUUUUAGAGAGAGAAACUAUCUCAAAUUUUAGGUUUUGGAGAGAGAAAAUAUCUUAAAACUUUAGAGAGAGAAACUAUAACAAAUGUUAGAUAGAGAAAGUAAUUAAAAUAUUUAGAGAGAGAAAGUAUUUAAAAAAAUUUUGAUAGAGAAACUAUUUAAAAAAUUUUAGAUAGCGGAACUAUCACAAAUUUUAAUUUUUA